AUUCUAUGUUACACCUAAUGAGAGGAUGCUUGCAAGCAGUUUACUUGUCUCACCGCAGACUUGUGGUAAGCAGGAAGACAGUCUCCUGGGGUUGGUGCAGUCCUCUUGAGGCAGACUGCAAAACCUCCCUGAAGUUGAGUGAAGCCUGAUCUAGCUGUAUAUCUGGUAGCUACACUGUAUUUCAUGUACAGGUUUCAAAGGAAGAAGUCUGUAGACUUCCGUAGGCAACCAGGUCUGUAAAGAUCUUAUGGAUGAAAGUUCAACAUAGGAGGAUUUUGUUUUCUAGGAUUGGUCGAAGGCUUUUUAAUCCUUUAAAGCUUCAGAGAUCCAUUAUCAUAUUUGUUCCAUGGAGGCAAAAGUUGCUCCCAUAAAGCAGAGAAAUCAUUGUAGAGAAAGUUGUUUUAUUAUGCACAUUAUGCACAUUUUUGUUUCUCAAAAAUAUCUGUCACAAUGUACAUGUAUCUUUGCCAUGGGAGUAUUUUUGUGAUGCAAGGUUACUUUGCAUUUUAUUUUUGUGUGUUUUGAAUCUCCGUCAGCCUUUCACUUG